GAGGCCUACAGUGUGCAGGGCAUUGCGCGCAGGCCUACAAUGCGCAAGGCAUUGUGGGCAGGCCUACCAUGCGCAAUCCCGUUUGUGCAAGCCUCCAGUUCACAAUCCUGUGCGCGCAGGCUUACUGUGCGGACAGCACGUGCACAAGGCGCACAAAGCCGCACCCGUCUACGAGUGAAUGGACUCACGCGCAGACCAUGCGUUGCACCUCACAUGGACGAGAUGUGAGAACAGUGGGCAUGUCCUGCAUUAGCUGCACGCAAGCUAAUGCGUGUGGCUUGCUGAGCU
rnacentral:lncRNA from 1 species